GACGAACGCUGGCGGCGUGCUUAACACAUGCAAGUCGAACGGAAAGGCCCUGCUUGCAGGGUGCUCGAGUGGCGAACGGGUGAGUAACACGUGGGUGAUCUGCCCCUUACUUUGGGAUAAGCCUGGGAAACUGGGUCUAAUACUGGAUAGGACCAUGCUGUAGGUGGUGUGGUGGAAAGAUUAGUUUCGGUAAGGGAUGAGCUCGCGGCCUAUCAGCUUGUUGGUGGGGUAAUGGCCUACCAAGGCGUCGACGGGUAGCCGGCCUGAGAGGGUGGACGGCCACAUUGGGACUGAGAUACGGCCCAGACUCCUACGGGAGGCAGCAGAGGGGAAUAUUGCACAAUGGGCGCAAGCCUGAUGCAACGACGCCGCGUGGGGGAUGACGGCCUUCGGGUUGUAAACUCCUUUCAGCCAUGACGAAGCCCUUGUGGUGACGGUAGUGGUAGAAGAAGCACCGGCUAACUACGUG
rnacentral:rRNA from 1 species